GGAGAGCUGUCCGAGAGGUCGAAGGAGGCGGUCUUGAAAACCGUUGAGGUGCAAGCCUCCGGGGGUUCGAAUCCCUCGCUCUCCG
rnacentral:tRNA from 1 species